rnacentral:tRNA from 1 species
GCAGUGGUGGCUCAGUGGCAAAAGUUUUGCCUUCUGCACGGGGGGCCCAGGUUUGACUUCUGGCCACUGCA